UGUCCACAAAAAAAAAAAAGAGCAAACUCGACAUUCCCUAACCUCGCGUCGGCGGCUAGCCGGAGAUGGAGACGGAGGUGGAGAUGGAGAUCGAUCCCGUCCGUCCGAGCGAAUCCAGGGGAGGAAGACCGGCCGAGGAGCGGGAGGAGGCCAACCCCUUCGUCUCCCGGAAGAAGGUGAAAGUUCCGGAGAAGAUUGAGUCCGUUCUCGCGGAGGAGCUGAAGGACCUCGAGGAGGAGCUCUCGCACGCCGCCCGGACCGAGCGUGAGAACAGCAAGCUGACCGAGAUCGUCAAGGGAAUGGGGCCGCUCGAAGUAGAGGAGGCCUUGUCGAUCGGCCACCGGCGGAAGGUGGAGAAGCCGGACAAGGGGAAGGCCGUGCACGAACGGCAACCGGAGGCGGAGUUGGAGGAAGCGCUCUCCCUCGCUGUCCGGAGCGGGCUGGCGGCUGAGGAGGUGAGGAAGUUCCUCCGCUUCGCUGUCUUGUCCAAUCUAAUGGACUACGACGUCCACUCUCUGGCCGUCAAGAGCGGGCUCGAGGAUGAGGACGCCGUCUCCCUCGCCAAGAACUUCCUCACCAUGUACAGGAUCGUAUUCAGAGCUCUACACGCUCAGCUCCUCGGAUCCUUCGACAGGCGACGGUUUGAUCCCGAGCUGUGUCAAUGGAAGAGAUUCGGUCGCUUCUUCACCGAGAGGAAGAAAAAAGGCCCCGAGGGGAUCCCCUUCCUUCUCUUCAAGAUCAAGGCGUCCGCCAAGAACGCGAAGGUGACGUGGUGGCGGAAGGAGUACGCCCACUUCCCCCCGGAGCGGUCAGGGUACACUGGUGUUCUGCGCUUGGCUCGCCUCGUCGUCGGUAGAGAUGGGUCGCCUCGUCUGGAGGAGGCUGGUGAGGACGGGCAGCCGGGCGCCCUCUCACACGGUAAUGGCAGGUACACGUCGUCUGCUCGCAGAGUGGGCGUCCUCAAAGACGGCUGGCUCAGUCCGCUUGACGAGGUCGCCGUGGUCAGGAGGUUGCCCGGCGGCGAGGGGAUUUAUAUCAUGUCCUACGUGGAUGGACUUGGUGUUAAGCUUGGUGAAUUUCUCUUCGUCUUACACAUGGCAUGGACCGUCGCCUUGAGUUUCACUGAGCGGGCGUUCUACGUCUCCUCGGAGUUCACGGAGGAGACGCUGUAUGCUGUUCCUGGUGUCCAUUUCAUAGACAUUACCAUCCCCGUGGAACAUCUGAUCAAGAAGCUUUACCAGAUGUAUGAGCAGGAGGAGCAAGAUAAGAAGACGAUGCUUGAGAAACAAGACCCUAUGGAGAUGGUGUGCCAACAGGAGGAGUUGGGGUCGAGAUUGGAGAACGAAGAGAGGAAGAAGGAGGAUCUGCGCAGGAGAAAGGAACAUAAACUCCAGCCCAAAAAUAAAAGGGAGGCGUUUCGCCUUGUAAAGAAGGCAACAAGAAUACAAAACGAACAAAGGCAGAAUGAAGGAUAUGAUGAAGAUUGCGUUAGGUGGCUGGAAGAAUCUGAUUGGGUGCUGCCAUUCGAUGAAGUGGCUAAGCCAGGAGAGGCCCAACAAACUUCUUGAGGAGACUAUGAAGCCCGUAGAAGAAAAUGAUCUGCUGAAACUUGGUGAAGGUGGGAUCAGGGGAAUUUUUUAUCGAACAGAAUAAUCAUUGCCGGCAUGACAAAUAUCUAGCAAGAUGGGCAAUACACCACCAGUUCCCUCUAUACCAUCAUCAGCCAUAGGGGGAUUACGCCAAUUUCCAUACCUUCAGUCUAGACUCUGGUGGUUCCUCCCAGGGAUCCAUAUUAACUGUGAAUUCUGCAAUGAACUCUAAUCUAUUUCUCAUCUGUAAUGAAUUCCAUCUGUGCUGCUGUUCUUUGGAGCAUCUGAAAAACCAGAAAUGCUAUGAUUUUUGACAACCAGACUUGUCUAUGUGUGAAACAAGUUUGAUGGCUGAUCCUGAAAACAGUGAGAAAAUGGCGACUGAUCUUCAGGGUGGACAUGGUGGUGAAGAUGGAUCUAUUUGCGCAGCAUGUCUCGGCAAUUCUGCGUGCACCUGUAGCUCUCCCAUGGGUAUGAAGCUGGUCCUAGUUACUCUGGACACCGAUCUCCAGUGGAGCGGCGAUCAGCACGUUCCAUGCCAACCUGCUGGUAACCUGAGGAUGACGACCUCUCCCAUCACACCUGGCGGGUGCAGCGCCUGGGCGCAGCUUCCGCAUCAGAAAGGAGUGUUGCUACCAGCUGAAGUCACAAGAGCCAAGCUCCAUCAAAUCGGUGAGAUCUACAGGCUCAUCCGCUGAUUGUUUUGGGUCCUGAGCUGAUGAGUUUGUAAUGUUAUUUUUCCGAGAGUUCAUCGUUUGCCAGAUUAGGUUUUCCUGUACUUUUAGUUUAUGUUCUCCUGUGUUUUGUCUCGAAUAUGUUUAGAACUCUCCUGGUUCAUUAAUAAAAAUGGGAC